GCAGCUUUCCCGAAAAUAAAAUGAGAAUCCCCAGGAAACAGGGAAAAUGGAAGGCGGGCGGCUCUGCAAGUCCGACCUGGGUGCCCCAGAGAGCUGCUCCGGGAAAGACGUUUACCUGCUGCCCAGAGCUGGGACUGCAGACCCUGAUUGGCGAGGGCUUGGAGAGUAGCUGAGAACCUUCCCUUCAGCUACUGAAGACCAGACAGGGCUUUCUGUAUCACGCUGCCUGACGAUGAUGAGGGUGCAGUGACUAAGAGUGCAGAUGAAAGGCCCAGCUCUCCAACCAGGUGGAUGGAUUUGCAAGGAGCUUCUAUCUGGGCGUGGUGGCUCAUGCCUGUAAUCCCAGCACUUUGGGAGGCUGGUCUUGAACUCCUGACCUCAGGUGAUCCCCCCCACCUUGGCCUCCCAAAGUGCUGGGAUUACAGAGGUGGCUCUUUUAAUUGACUCCUCUCCAGGCAUCUCUCCUUCCAGCCACAGAGCCUGGCCUGAUGGUCCCAGGGCCCCAGGGCCCCAGGUGAAGGCCUCUCUCCUCCCCCACUCAGGUCUGACCAGCUCUGUUUCCAUCCUGGUGUGGGCACAAGGUCUCUUGCUGCAGCUGGGCCAGUUUGCUGACCUUCUCAGCUCCUUCUCUUAGACUGGAGAGGCCUGGAAGGGUGCCCGAGGGAGGGUCUGGGCUGCUCUCCUGGGCUCCUCCCCUCCACUCCAGGACUCUGGCUGGAGCCUGGUCAGGGUCCUUACUGAGUUCUCAGCCAAGCGCCAGCCCUGUGAUGGCCUGAGGGGUCUGGUGGGGAAGCCCCAAAGUGAGGGCUCCAUAGCCCUCACUGUCCCUCCCCCAGCAUUGUGCAGUGCCGGCGGUCUCUGAGUUCUUCUGGGUAGCCUUUCUACCACAUCCUCUUGCCUACUUUCACCAGGUGGCCAAGGGACACUAAAAAAGGCAGUGAAUAGCUAGAGGACCACUCUUGAAAAUCAGCCUGCCUUCCUCCUGGUGCCAGCUCCUGUCCCUCCGGCCUCCUUUUCAUAGAAUUCUACAACAGGAGGAAACAGAGAGGUCAUCUCCUCCACCUUCACCAAGUUUCCAGAACGGAUGGGUUAGAGGGAUCUGGCGUUCUCUGAGGCUUCGGGCCAAACCUUGGACAUUGGGCUGGCCAGAGAUCUUGCUGGGGUUGCCUUGGGAAUUGUAUAUCCAUUGGGAGCACUAGCCCUGAACACCUGGGGCUCCCCACCUGCUAGGAGCUGGGAGGACUCUGGUGUUCCCUGCAACCCCCCAGGGUCUGGGUGGACGGAAUGGCAGCCCAGGACUGUUCCCCAGGCUGACCUGGACUCUGAUGAGAGCCAAGAGUGGACCUAGCUGUCAUUUAGAUCCCUGGGGGAGCCUUCACAGUAGCUGCCAAGCAGAGGUCCUGGCACUGGGGAGGGUUCUCACACGUAGGAGGGGCAGUACUUAAGCAAGUAACAGUGGAGAGGGCACUGGAUUUGACAUCAGCUGAGAGGUGGUCCGUUUCUGCUUCUCUCACUGCUUAUCUGUGAUCUGAGGCAAGCCUAAACUCCUCUACAGCUUAGUUUACUCAUCUGGAAAGUGUGGUAUAUUUUAUUUUACCUGCCUUACAUCUGAGGCAUGGAGGAAGGACGGAAUGAGAUCACCUAUUAAAAUGCAUUUU
rnacentral:lncRNA from 1 species